UACGUAGGGGGCUAGCGUUGUCCGGAUUUAUUGGGCGUAAAGAGCGUGUUGGCGGCCAGGUAGGUCUGCUGUGAAAACUCGAGGCUCAACCUCGAGACGUCGGCGGAAACCAUCUGGCUAGAGUCCGGAAGAGGAGAGUGGAAUUCCUGGUGUAGCGGUGAAAUGCGCAGAUAUCAGGAAGAACACCCGUGGCGAAGGCGGCUCUCUGGGACGGUACUGACGCUGAGACGCGAAAGCGUGGGGAGCGAACAGG
rnacentral:rRNA from 1 species